rnacentral:rRNA from 1 species
GACGGAGGAGGCAAGCGUUGUCCGGAAUCAUUGGGCGUAAAGAGCGCGUAGGCUGUUUUUCAAGUCAUGUGUGAAAACUUCAGGCUUAACUUGAGGAUUGCAUAUGAAACUGGAAAACUUGAGUGCAGUAGAGGAAAGUGGAAUUCCUGGUGUAGCGGUGAAAUGCGCAGAUAUCAGGAAGAACACCAGUGGCGAAGGCGGCUUUCUGGGCUGCUACUGACGCUGAGGCGCGAAAGCUAGGGGAG